rnacentral:tRNA from 1 species
CUCCCUGUACCCCAAUUUGGUAGAGGGCGCACGUCGAGAGCGUGUGAAUGUGUCGGUUCGAGUCCGACCAGGGAGA